CUGACACUCUUGAGCAAGGAUGCUGUGGAAAAAUAUAACACGGUGAGGAUGUGCUAAAGAAGGCCAGUAGCCUCAGGGUGCUCACAUGAAGGACUCAUUUUCCAACCUCCUCUGAAACUGGAAGCCCUCUGCCAAUGCUACUGUAUAAGACAGCAUUUACGGAUGUGACUUCGAAGGGAAUGACUAAUUUCCAUCUGCUUUCAUCUCAUAAUGGCUAAGGCGGACAAGAAUGCAGCCGUAGCUCAAGGCCCUGAUGAGAACUCUGUGUCUCCACUACAUUAGGGAUGAGUGAUUUCUACUCUCUUGAGUAAUUUAAUACCUCACAGAAACUCAUCUUGACAUUCCUUGCACAGAGCCAUCAAGAUGGUUGCCACCUCAUCCAACCACAGGACCCCUGGUUGUGUGGGCUAACAGUACUUGAGGGUCUUCAGCAACAAGAUGGCACAGAAGUAAAAUAAACCCG
rnacentral:lncRNA from 1 species